rnacentral:rRNA from 1 species
UCUACGGGUGGCAGCAGUGGGGAAUAUUGCACAAUGGGGGAAACCCUGAUGCAGCGACGCCGCGUGGGUGACGAAGGCUUUCUGUAUGUAAAGCCCUAUCAGCAGGGAAGAAGAUGACAGUACCUGCCUAAGAAGCCCCGGCUCACUACGUGCCAGCAGCCGCGGUCAUACGUAGGGGGCAAGCGUUAUCCGGAUGUACUGGGUGUAAAGGGAGCGUAGGUGGCAUGGCAAGCCAGCAGUGCAAACCCGGGGCUUAACCCCGCGGAUUGCUUUUGGAACUGGCAGGCUGGAGUGCAGGAGGGGCAGGCGGAAUGCCUGGUGUAGCGGUGAAAUGCGUAGAUAUCAGGAGGAACACCGGUGGCGAAGGCGGCCUGCUGGACUGUAACUGACACUGAGGCUCGAAAGCGUGGGGAGCAAACAGGAUUAGAUACCCGAGUAGUC